UGUAGGCUGCACCUAUGAGCCGAAGGACUCUGCAGCUGUACUUUCCUCUAGAGGGAUUUAUGUAUUAAGCUGCUGGUGCUGAACCCGUGUCAGGGUCUGAGCAGCCCUGCCUGGGGGGGAACUACUGCCACUGUGUUUUCAGGUGUCUGCGGAGCUCUGGGACAGCACAGGAGGACGGGGCACUGCCAGCUGCUGCAAGAGAGCUGCCACGGCAGCCAGCUGUGCUCUCUCUGAGCUGGAGCCUGCCGCGGCGUCAGCAGGGCAAGCAGUGAGAAACAGGCUGCCUGUACCAGCCUGAAGGUUUAGCUCUGCCAGAGGUUAGAAAAGAGGUUGUUUGUCUGAAGAGACAAGGGUGUGGUGAAAAUACUAGGUGCCAGCCAAGUGAACUAAAACACUAUCUGAAUUACAAAGCAGGCUGGAAAAUAAAAUUUAACUGACAGAAGAUCUGGACCUCACCUGUGCUGAGAGACAGAGAGAAAAGGAGUCCUAAGAACUGGUCAUGUACAGCUCCUUUGGAGGGAAUUCUGCUGUUGACUUAUUUGCUACAAUCAAGACAGAAGGGGGCAUGAGGGAAAAGUCUACACGCAGGUUUUUGCUAUUGGACAUACUUCAUCCCUGAUACAGCAUCUGCACUAUGAAAUUCACCCUGAAUGAACGGGCAUUCAGGUGUCUUUACCUCCAGGAGACAGGACGCAACUCUCAGGCUGAAUUAGCCCCAGUUGGAUACGUUUUUUAAACUCUCCAGUGGUAACAGACCUGAAGACUUUUCCCCCACACUGGCCUGGACUGAACACUUGGCAGGCAGUAACAUGCAAACUCUGACCACAUCACUGGUGUGAAAUUGCUGAUUAACCUUUUGACUCUGACAAUUGGGACUUCUCUCAACACCAACUGACAGGCUGUCUCUGACAGAAGAAUACAGUUCAUCAAAAGUGUCUGCAGGUUGUCAAACUCGGUGAGAUUUGGGGACACUCGGAGGCUGUCAUGGCCAACAAGAAGAUUUUCUGUAGGGUUCUGCCAUCAUUCACCCUCAGGAAAUAAUCACUCACUACAUUCUGCAUGCUCUCAUGAUAGAGCUCUAUUUGAGAGAAAAGAGCCAUUUUAUCAAAGGACAAUAUAUCCCUUCUCUUGGUCCAUGCAGCUUCCAUUAUCAGACCAUAAUAAAUCAUAUUUAUGUUCUCAGUUAAUAAGACUGAUUACAAUGCAGGUUACAGGCAUGGGAAAAGCAAAGCAGGUGAAAAGAUGUUUUAAUGAAAAUAUGAUAAGCAAACAGCUUCUUGUGAACAUUUCAGGCUGUUAUUUGUAAUGAUCACAGGCAAUUUUUGAUACAUCUUCUUUAGCAAUGGUUUAAGCUGCAUAAAUUGGCUUGCCACUUUAUACGUUGAAAUAGGAAGAAUCCCAGUGUCCUUCUUAUGUUGUCUAGAAUCAUUAUAUACAUUAUAAGCAUAAAAUGAGUUUAAUGUAUGUGCUUUGAAAAGAAGGGGAAAACAGAAAAUCAGGGAAGACUGAUUUUAAUGCCUCUCAAAAUGAUUUUGAAAUUUUCUACUCAUCUUUGUUACUAACGGUACAUUUUCCAUGAAAUUUAGGAAUGACAUGUACUGCUUUCAUCUCCUUAAAAUUAAUAUACCACUCUCUAUGUUUUUCUCAAUUUCUUCAAAGUUCUUUUUAAAGCACUGUGCAAAGAGACAGAGAGAAAUUCUCCACUCGAUGUGUGAGCAUAUCUGCUAUUAAUGCUGAGGGGAGUUAAGUGUAUGCUUCUACAGGAGAAUAUACCCUGGUGUUCAAUACUGAAAGUUGCAGAGGUUGGAACCUGAUUUAUUCAGAAGGUGGGGAGGUUCUGGCAGUUCUGAAAGACAGCAAAAGCAGCAUGGCUUUCUUCUACCAAAGUGGUAUUUUCAAGGAGAAGAUGCAGGAAUCAGGUGUAGCUCCCAAGACACAAGGACUAGCAAAGUGCAGCAUGGAAGAUCUCAAGACAAAGCAGCAGCCUCAACAUUUCUCUCUAAUGAGAAAAGGAAAAGACAGUCGAGGUCCCAUAGGAAUGCAGUAUUUAGGGAGAGAACCAAGACUCCUUUCAUGAAUGGAGAGAUAACCCUGAUGAAUUCUGGACUACCUGCUAUCUUACGGGCAUGUCUAGGUUUAAGAAUGAUUUGGAUCACAGGCUGUAACAUUUUCCAGACAUUCAGAUUGCAACUACUAAGCCAGCAAUUUUAUGCUUUCCUUUCUCUGACUCCAACAGUACCGCGAUAUAAGCAGCCAGAUUUUCUUCUGCAUUGUGUUUUUUAUCCAUUCAGCCAAAAUUAACAGUCUUCAAGGAUAACGUAUGCCAAGUGAAUUUAAAUCUUGCGGACUCAAAUCGACCUAAAGUUGAUGGAUACAUUCAUGCCUACCGCUGAAAUCUACCAAUUACACAGAACUAUGUUAACUUACCAUAGAAACAUCUCAUCUAAUAGCACAGAUGAUGUUGAACUAACUAAUUACAUUAUGGCACAUAGACAAUGAAAAACAUAACGAAGAUGACAGCACAGCAACAGCAGAUGCUGCACAAAAGAAAAAUUAGAAAAAUACUGCUCUGCAGAAUGCUCUCAGUUAAGGUUUCCUCUGUUAAAAUUAAUCACAAAAAUUAGUGAAGAUCAGAUUUCGGAAAAAGAUAUGAACAUUGUAAUGGUAUUUGGAAUAUGUCAUUAAGCCAUUUAAAACUCUACUCCUUGUGAAGGUAAUUCCCAUUUUCUGUAUCACUAUCAGUUUUAAGACUAGUAAACAUUUUAGUGCCUAUGGCAGAGUUUCUUGGUAGCAUAUCUUUUCCAAUCAGGAGAGGUCCUGAUGGCUCUUCCAGAGACUGAAUUUGGUAGCUCCCAGCCAUUACAGGCUUAGAUAAUUAGACAACUUAGAUUUUAUUUUAGCUUGGCAUUUGCUCUAUUCUUGUGCUCUUAGCUGUCAGAAAGUGAGAAUAACAGUGACUGUCUAUUAUCUGGAGCAUGCCUUGUUACUUUAUAUAUUUUAAAUUGUACCAGAUCCUAAACAACAAAUCUAAAAUUGCUGAGUAUAUUUAAAUGUAAUAUGUGCAUGGAGAUUACAUCCAGAUGAUAUAUUUCAUAGACCUAUGCUAAAAAAAUACAUUAUUUUUAACCACAAUACCGGUGCUCUCCCCCUUUUCCCUGCAGAAGCUUUCCACCAGCUCCAAGUCCGCUUUAUGCACAGACUCUGAACGUAACCUAGUCUAUGGAGAAAGACAGAUAAAGGCUUUUCUCCAGCAUUUAAAUGAUACCUGUGGUGCCAUUCGAAUUUCAAUACUUUAUUUGCUAUAGAAUUAGAAACAAAACAUACCUACGACAUCCCGGGGUUUCCCCAAGCCUGUUUUUCCUAGCUAGACGUUUUUUCCUUACAUUUUAAACGGUUACUGGGCGCACGUCUCCGCGGUCCAGCUGAGGCCCGAGAUGCAGAAACGAAGGAGGCCUACAGGUGGCGAUGUGGUUCAAGUACACCUGGGCUUCGCUGCCCGAGGCCGCGCUCACCGGCCGGCCUGCCGUCGGGCAGCCGGCCUGCCGAGCCGCUCCGACACACCCGUUCGUAAGGAAGCGCUCCUGGCCCAAAUGCUGCAAACCUUGCGGGUGCUUCGCCCCCACGUUACCCACCAGCAGGACGGGUCUAAGGUACUUUUGUUGCCUCUGACGCCAGAGGGGCGGUGGGCUACGCCAACUCGUAAUUCCGUCAUGCUGCUGUCGCUAAGCGUUAUUUUGACGGCAGCAACUAACCGGGCCCUCUGCCGGGGCACAGGUCAGCACUGGCCAGGGCGCGCACGCGGCCGCGCGUGGCAGCAGUUGCAGCGGCGCCCAUCCCACUGGCUGUGCAGCAUUGGCUGCUGCUUACAUCAGCAGGCUGGAAUCGAGAAACUCCUGUGAUGAAGUUUUUCUCUUCUUUUGCUACUCCUGGAAAUGUACAGUUGAUCUGACUCGCAGCCCGCUUGGUGAAGCACGUUUGUGUGACGGCGUGCAUGUGCCCUG